AUACGGAGGGUGCAAGCGUUGUUCGGAAUUACUGGGCGUAAAGCGCGCGUAGGCGGUCUGUUAUGUCAGAUGUGAAAGUCCUCGGCUCAACCGGGGAAGUGCAUUUGAAACUGGCAGACUUGAGUACUGGAGGGGGUGGUGGAAUUCCUGGUGUAGAGGUGAAAUUCGUAGAUAUCGGGAGGAAUACCGGUGGCGAAGGCGACCACCUGGCCAGAUACUGACGCUGAGGUGCGAAAGCGUGGGGAGCAAACAGGAUUAGAUACCCCAGUAGUCC
rnacentral:rRNA from 1 species